rnacentral:lncRNA from 10 species
CCAAAUCAGUCUUUUUGGUUAGAACAACUCUUUAAAUCACCUAGCUUGACCAUCAUUCAAUACUUACAUCUCGGCCAGGCGUGGUCGCUCACACCUGUAAUACCAGCACUUUGGGAAGCUGAGGUGGACAGAUCACCUGAGGUCAGGAGUUCAAAACCAGCUUGACUAACAUGGUGAAACCCCAUCUCUACUAAAAAUACAAAAUUAGCUGGGCGUGGUGGCGCAUUCCUGUAAUCCCAGCUACUUGGGAGGCUGUGGCAGAAGAAUGGAUCACUUGAACCUGGGAGGUGGAGGUUGCAGUGAGACGAGAUCUUGCCACCGUACUCCAGC